rnacentral:rRNA from 1 species
AGCAGUAGCCGCGGUAAAACGGAGGGUGCAAGCGUUAAUCGGAAUUACUGGGCGUAAAGCGCACGCAGGCGGUCUGACAAGUCAGAUGUGAAAUCCCCGGGCUUAACCUGGGAACUGCAUUUGAAACUGUCAGGCUGGAGUCUUGUAGAGGGGGGUGGAAUUCCAGGUGUAGCGGUGAAAUGCGUAGAGAUCUGGAGGAAUACCGGUGGCGAAGGCGGCCCCCUGGACAAAGACUGACGCUCAGGUGCGAAAGCGUGGGGAGCAAACAGGAUUAGAUCCCCAGUAGUCCCUGUCUCUUAUACA